rnacentral:tRNA from 1 species
GAGUGUAUAGCUCAGUGGAAGAGUGCAUACCUAGCAUACACAAAGUCCUGGGUUCAAUUCCCAGUACCUCU